AUGGCAGGGAGUUAUGGCCUUUCGAAGGGCUGCCACCGCUGCUGGUUGCUCUGCGCUUUCACCUUAGAGCACUGUCAAGCAGAGGUUCCUGUGCAGCGGAAGCUGUCAGUGAUCACCAAAUUUGCCGUGCUGGCUGGUGGAAGUUUGUGGUGGUCUAAGAGUGUGUUCCAUGUUUUCAUUUCAGGCUAAAACCACCGAGUGUGGCUCCACAGGGUAUGUGGAGAAAAUCACAUGCAGCUCAUCUAAAAAUAAUGAGUUCAAAACUGCUGCUUAACUCUAAUGAAACAACACUUAAUCUGGAAAUUCCAAGGGCCUGUCGUGGGUGUGGUCUUGGUCUUCGCUUGCCUUGUCACUAUUAGUCAGCAACAACUGGUCAGAAAAGCUCUGGAAAAGGUCGGGAAACAAAUCGAUUCCACAUAGUUACAACACUGCUCCCUUUCCCUGUGUCUCGGAGACGCGAUCUCAGACAGAGAAAGUGGAAACCGACUAAUUUGUAACCUUGGUUCUUUGGAUCCUUGUGGUGGUAUCCCCUUGUCCCCAUCUUCCUCUUUCAGAUCAUUAAUGAGCAGAAUAAAAAGAGUAAAAUAAAAAACAA